AGAGCUUUGAUCAUGGCUCAGGAUGAACGCUGGCGGCGUGCCUAACACAUGCAAGUCGAACGAGCGAUAAGAGCUGAUUCUUCGGAUGAAGCACUUAUCUGCGAGUGGCGGACGGGUGAGUAACGCGUGGGGAACCUGCCUUCUUCUGGGGGAUAGCAAUCGGAAACGAUUGAUAAUACCGCAUAAGACCACGAAGCCGCAUGGCUUUGAGGUAAAAGAUUUAUCGGAAGAAGAUGGACCCGCGUAUGAUUAGCCGGUUGGCGGGGUAACGGCCCACCAAAGCAACGAUCAUUAGCCGGCCUGAGAGGGCGGACGGCCACAUUGGGACUGAGACACGGCCCAGACUCCUACGGGAGGCAGCAGUGGGGGAUAUUGCACAAUGGAGGAAACUCUGAUGCAGCGACGCCGCGUGAGUGAAGAAGUAUUUCGGUAUGUAAAGCUCUAUCAGCAGGGAAGAAAGGCCCCCCUUGCGGGGAGAUGACGGUACCUGAGUAAGAAGCCCCGGCUAACUACGUGCCAACAGCCGCGGUAAUACGUAGGGGGCGAGCGUUAUCCGGAUUUACUGGGUGUAAAGGGAGCGCAGACGGAAUGGCAAGUCUGAUGUGAAAGCCCGGGGGCUCAUCCCCCGGGACUGCAUUGGAAACUGUCAAUCUGGGAGUGUCGGAAGGGCCAAGCGGAAUUCCUGGUGUAACCGGUUGAAAUGCCGUAGAUUAUCAAGGAGGAAACACCC
rnacentral:rRNA from 1 species